rnacentral:lncRNA from 1 species
GGCAGGGGCGCGGGGUGCGGGCAGGGCCGCCGCUCUCCCGGCUUCCCGCCUAGUGAGCGCACCUUGGACCCCUGCGGCUUUUCUGAGCCGAAACUCACGGGCUGUGGCCGGCUUCGUUUCGCGUCGUGCAGCUCCGCGACCGCCCGUGGCCACACCAGUCGGGGACUUCGUGCUUUACGAUGGGGGUGCAGCGGUCUGGCACGCGCAGGACCCCGGGCCUUGCACCCCAACUCUGGCCGCCCUGGACCCGCGGCGGGGACCCGCGCAGUCAGGGUACCUGCCCAUACCGAUGGGGUGGGGACCAGCACGGAGACUUUCCUUCACUCCGCGGCUUCUGUUCCUUUCAGGACGGACAGCGCCCACCCGGAGGAAAGCCUGACAGACGAGACUUCGCAAGACGUAGUUCUGGGACUGAGCUCCUGGUGAGAGGCCAGUGGCGAGGGAAGAGGGACCAGCAGAGAAAAGAGUGGAGCCUCGGGCUGCUAGCAGAGUGGCAGAAACCGAGUCUGCGAGAGGAAAACAUUGUUUCCCGCCGCCUCCUGCUGAGCCAUGGGGACCCAGGUUGGCCCAUCCUCUGCCACAGCUUGAGCCCCACCCAUGGGGUCCCUGCUUGAUGAGUGCUUCCCCUGUCCUCUCAGACCCUACUUCUGCCCCCGGAGGGGUGUCUGUCCAGGGGA